GUCCCUGUAGAGCAAUGGAUAGCUUUCGGACAUCUAAUCCAAAUACCGUGGGUUCGAAUCCUACCAGGGAUG